GGGCAGCUGACAAGUAUCUUCUUCAAACAAUCGUUUUGCAGAACUCGGCAAUUCAGAAUCUUCUCAUUACCUAUUCUGGACUGUUUUUUAGUGCUCAGCUCACCGAUACAAAUAUGAUUUGUAAGAUAGUUCAAGUUCACUAAAGGUAUCCUCUUUUCUGGCACAACAUCGGUGCUCUGAGGAUGAAGAAUGAGUGCUCCAUGUUUAAAGCACACUCCAGUGACAGGAAUCUGGAAGGGGACAUUUCACUACUCUGCCUCUAUAUCAGCAUCUCAUUCUUUUGCAGUGUGCUAACCUGUUUCACCAUUCCUUUUCUCACUCAGAUGCCGCAGGUCGCUCCAGAAGAUGAAGAGGGAGCAUGCCACCCUGAAGCAGAAGCUGGAGACAUACUUUCAGUUGCUGAGGCAAGUCGGUCCUUGAGAGCGCGCGCGCGGUGAACUCAUGGAAGUAACAAGAAUAGCAUGGAAUGCAGUUCCAAAGGAAAUAAUGGUGUGGGCUACCUCUGUUCCUUUGGACCAGUAGUAUGCCCCUGAAGUUUUGCCCCUUUUGUUGCUCAUGGGUCAUGGCCUCAUGGGUGACGUCCCUGUGGUUUUUAUACCAUCUGGUGCUGUGCUAUACGCUUGGCAUGCUCCUUGGUUAAAUCACUAAAUGGGUGUGAUUGGUACGCUGCACAAGGGCUCUACCCAGGCUUGCGUAAUGCAAGUUAGCUUGUUUGGUAGGCUGAACAGACCUGUAAGCCAAGCUCCGGUUGUGCAAAUAGUCCCGUACGGCCUGCACAGUGGGAAACGCGAUUCAGCUGCGUCUCCGGUAGUGCAGCCUGCAUAGAGCUCCGACUAGCCACUUGCCUACCAUCUGCUCACCUCCUGUGCUCUCACCACCGGAGCGGAGUGAAGGAACUGUCUUACGCCGGGCGGAAUCCCCCACCGCCGCACUGUGCCGCCGGCAACUGUGAUGGCAUCCUCUUCGAUCGCACCUCCUACGUCCGCAAUCCCUCGAUUCUAGUCGAAUUUCCCAAAGGUCCGGCAGAGUUCACCCUGGCAGUCGCACCGAUGUCGUGGAGCUCCCUCAAUUUGAGAUCCAGAGCACACCCCCAAGCAGAUCUGGCCACCGACUUCAAGGUCCUGGAUGAGCGAGCUGUCGUCCACCUGCUACCGCAGGUGCAGGCUGCAGCUCGAACAGAGGCUGCUCCGGGAGCAGCAGCCUGCCGGAGACGCCGGUGUGGCCGUCAAGGUGUUGGAUGCCAAGAAGCGCAAGGUACGAAGCGAUGGGCAUCAAGACAUCAAGGGAGUGAACAUCAGGUCCUUCAUUGUUUAAUUUCUUUUGCCUGCGAAGAUGUCCAGUGUGCAGCGAAUUGUUUUUUGAGUAAGCAGCGUGCUGUGAUUUUGUUUCCUGUCAAAUUAUUGAAUGAGUUGAUUUGGGAAUGCAGUGUAUUUUCUCUCUUUUGUUCGAUUACAUGUUCAUUUCUUUGUUUCAAUGGAAUUCUCGACUUGCUAGCU